UACAGAGGUCUCAAGCGUUGUUCGGAUUCAUUGGGCGUAAAGGGCGCGUAGGCGGUGGGGUAAGUCUGGUGUGAAAUCUCGGAGCUCAACUUCGAAAUUGCACUGGAUACUGCUCUGCUAGAGGGCUGGAGAGGAGAUCGGAAUUCACGGUGUAGCAGUGAAAUGCGUAGAUAUCGUGAGGAAGACCAGUGGCGGAGGCGGGUCUCUGGACAGUUCCUGACGCUGAGGCACGAAGGCCAGGGGAGCAAACGGG
rnacentral:rRNA from 1 species